rnacentral:lncRNA from 1 species
ACGUAUUUGAGAUUCUUUUAAGUUACUCCCACUAUGACAGACUUCCAUACUUGGGCCCACCAUUGGUUGUGAUUGGGUUUCAAUUGAAACAAGUUUAUUGAAUCUUGUAUCACUCCCACUCAAAUAUAGUGGGCCCAUUUAUCCUUGUAGGGUGGAAACAUUUUGGCCUUCAGUUUCAUAUAGAGAUAAGUCUUGACCUAUCUCACAU